UUAUGUUUUGAAAAUGACAGAGAAUAUAAUAUGCUGUACAUUUUCCUAAGAA
rnacentral:sRNA from 1 species